CCUACGGGAGGCAGCAGUGGGGAAUUUUGGACAAUGGGCGAAAGCCUGAUCCAGCAAUGCCGCGUGAGUGAAGAAGGCCUUCGGGUUGUAAAGCUCUUUUGUCAGGGAAGAAACGGUGAGGGCUAAUAUCUCUUGCUAAUGACGGUACCUGAAGAAUAAGCACCGGCUAACUACGUGCCAGCAGCCGCGGUAAUACGUAGGGUGCAAGCGUUAAUCGGAAUUACUGGGCGUAAAGCGUGCGCAGGCGGUUUUGUAAGUCUGUCGUGAAAUCCCCGGGCUCAACCUGGGAAUUGCGAUGGAGACUGCAAGGCUAGAAUCUGGCAGAGGGGGGUAGAAUUCCACGUGUAGCAGUGAAAUGCGUAGAGAUGUGGAGGAACACCGAUGGCGAAGGCAGCCCCCUGGGUCAAGAUUGACGCUCAUGCACGAAAGCGUGGGGAGCAAACAGGAUUAGAUACCCUGGUAGUCCACGCCCUAAACGAUGUCUACUAGUUGUCGGGUUUUAAUUAACUUGGUAACGCAGCUAACGCGUGAAGUAGACCGCCUGGGGAGUACGGUGCAAGAUUAAAACUUAAAAGGAAAUUAGAGG
rnacentral:rRNA from 1 species